rnacentral:rRNA from 1 species
GUAACAGGAUGUGCUUGCACAUCGCUGACGAGUGGCGGACGGGUGAGUAAUGCUUGGGAACUUGCCUUUGCGAGGGGGAUAACAGUUGGAAACGACUGCUAAUACCGCAUAAUGUUUUCGAACCAAACGGGGCUUCGGCUCCGGCGCAAAGAGAGGCCCAAGUGAGAUUAGCUAGUUGGUAAGGUAACGGCUUACCAAGGCGACGAUCUCUAGCUGUUCUGAGAGGAAGAUCAGCCACACUGGGACUGAGACACGGCCCAGACUCCUACGGGAGGCAGCAGUGGGGAAUAUUGCACAAUGGGGGAAACCCUGAUGCAGCCAUGCCGCGUGUGUGAAGAAGGCCUUCGGGUUGUAAAGCACUUUCAGUUGUGAGGAAAAGUUAGUAGUUAAUACCUGCUAGCCGUGACGUUAGCAACAGAAGAAGCACCGGCUAACUCCGUGCCAGCAGCCGCGGUAAUACGGAGGGUGCGAGCGUUAAUCGGAAUUACUGGGCGUAAAGCGCACGCAGGCGGUUUGUUAAGCUAGAUGUGAAAGCCCCGGGCUCAACCUGGGAUGGUCAUUUAGAACUGGCAGACUAGAGUCUUGGAGAGGGGAGUGGAAUUCCAGGUGUAGCGGUGAAAUGCGUAGAUAUCUGGAGGAACAUCAGUGGCGAAGGCGACUCCCUGGCCAAAGACUGACGCUCAUGUGCGAAAGUGUGGGUAGCGAACAGGAUUAGAUACCCUGGUAGUCCACACCCGUAAACGCUGUCUACUAGCUGUGUGUGCCUUUAAGGCGUG